CAGCAGCAGCCGCGGUAAUACGUAGGUGGCAAGCGUUGUCCGGAACUAUUGGGCGUAAAGGGCUCGCAGGCGGUUUCUUAAGUCUGAUGUGAAAGCCCCCGGCUCAACCGGGGAGGGUCGUUGGAAACUGGGAAACUUGAGUGCAGAAGAGGAGAGUGGAAUUCCACGUGUAGCGGUGAAAUGCGUAGAGAUGUGGAGGAACACCAGUGGCGAAGGCGACUCUCUGGUCUGUAACUGACGCUGAGGAGCGAAAGCGUGGGGAGCGAACAGGAUUAGAUACCCGUGUAGUCCCUGUCUCUUAUAA
rnacentral:rRNA from 1 species